CGUAAACGGGCUGACAGGGCGGAGGUGACGUGGCUGACGCCAGCUUCAGGAGACGUGACGAGCACCCGACAGGCAGGCAGAGAAUGAGCAGGGCUCGGAAGACCGACCAUCUCUGUUCCAAACUGCUAACUCUCGCUUUAAACUGAACAAUGGAACCCUGUCUAGAUCCCCAGGGCGAGACAGGGUUUUUCAUCAUCAUACACGUCAGACUGGCCAACGGUGUGAAACUUUUCUGCUCUGACUUCCCUCCCGUGUCUGAGCCAUAAAUCCUUCAGUUACAGGAGACCCCGCAGUUCCACUCUGAAGGCCCAAAAGGACGCACAAGGAAGCGCUUGCUUCCCACCAACCCUCAGACAGUUGUGAAAACAUCCAUCUGCUGUGGCUGGACCUGCAUGUUGCUUCUUCCAGCAUCGUCUAUCAGAAACCUCAGGAAGCAGCCCGUUAUGUCUCAGGGGCCCCGCAAACACCACGAACCUGUCACAUAGCAACACUGCGUCCUGCAAAAUACUCCUAAAACUUGUUUGGAAAUUCUUCCUUCGUUUAUUAAGAGUCAAAGUUAAAUUGAUAUUCUACCAUCGGGAAAUAGUAAUAAUUUGCUGUGUCUCACCUCCCAUUAUCAAAAAUAACUUUAAAGAGGUCGAAUAAUUUUACUGCAACAAAUCAGCACCUGCAUUUCCACCCAAAAUGUUAAGGAUAAGACACCCUGAGACUAGGAGAUCUUAGGAAAUAAAUAUUGUGAAUGAA